CGCCCACGCGCCCCAUUUCGUCGGGUCGGUCAGCUCGUAUGUGACUUCGCCGUUUUCUUGCACCACCAUGUUAUACAUGUCCAGAUCCAUGGUUGUCCUCCUUCCUUAAUUAAUCGAACACAACAAACUCUCCAACAGGUUAACAAUAGUGAUUAAAAACUAGAAACUCAUGGACAUUAUACGUAGCUAGGCCAUGGCUGUGGAAGAAUGUUGAGGAUAUGGGGAUGAUUUAGACUAAUUUUUUUGGACAAUAUAUGUAGCUAGGCCAUGGUUGUGAAAUAAUGUUGAGGAUGGGAUGCUUUAGACUAAAAGCUGUCAGCAAUAUAUGUAGCUAGGCCAUGGCUGUUAAUGAAUGUUGAGGAUGGGGGGAUUAUUUGGUUCGAUAAACCAUGCAUGGUUGGGGUGUAUGAAGAUGUGUGAUCUGCAUUUGCCCGGUCAUGGAUACACAUAUAUAUNCUGUCUGUUUCGUCUCGUAUCCAUUUGUAUUUGUUAUAAAGAUAAUGAAGGCGUCUGGGUAUUUGGACCUUGAGUCUCUACCAAGACUUCCUAACUAAAGGCUAGAUUUUGGACCCUUCCUUCCAUUGGAAAGGAGACUUUGUGUGAGGGACUAGGAUAUCCAUCUUGUUUUGUGGUGACAGGGAGGAACUAAUGUGAUAAGAUGAGUUGUGCAGAUGAUGAAUAUUCAUGUAGCCCUUGGUGUGGUGGACCUUCUCAAGAAAGGGCAUGUUUGGGUUCCUACACGAGCCGUUUGGUCUAAGGCAAAAAGUAACAUCUUUCGGCUAGGUUCAACAAUAACUCCCUCACCAUCCCUUGAGAGGUGAGCUCAUGUGCUGCAAAAUGCACAAAGGCAUGUUGUGUAAACUCGAUAGGCGGGUGUAGAAAUCCACCACCAUCUCCUCUCCUCUCGGUUAAUUAAAACUUAUUAUUUCUCAUCCAUUGUCUUCGCUAUUUGUUCGUAUUGUUGGGGUUUGUGGCCGCGACGACUACACUAAUUCGUAAACAACAAAUAUAGGUGUCGGUUUGUGUUGUUCAUAACUCCACGCAUGAAAUACGGACCCUGCCCCCCACCCACCCUCCUCAUUUAAGAUUUUCACACCCAUGACAUCGGGUAGAACCCCGAACUUGGUACCAAGUGAUAUAGAGAAACUCCCGGUUGCCAUUGGCAGUACCCCUAAUAUGUUCUUUCCCACUCUCACUCGGGAACACAUUGUGUAGUGUUGACCUAUUGACCCAUUGGUGAAAUUUGAAUGAAGGAUGUUGUGCUAAAUUGUGCAAUGCAAUGUUGGUUUUGACCCCUUUGGGGUGGCGGUGCUAUACCUAUCAGUACUACCCCUUUUGAUAUAUAUUUUUCCUAAUGGGUUUGACAAGACGGACUCAUCGCAGGUUUCUUCAUGGAUAUUUGUGCCAGAGAUUGUGGUGUAAUAAUUUGUGUGGAAUACAUAAGGCAGUUAAUAUGAAUGCACAAUGUGUGGCAUCUUUUUGCUAGGUUCUAUAGUAUCUCCCUGUACGUGUCGUUUGAGAUGGGUUCAAGUGUUGCAAAAUGCAAAAAUGCAUGUUGUGUAAACUUGGCAUGGGUGCAGCAACCAUCCAUUUCUCCUAUCCGUUGGUAAAUUGAAACCUAUUUCGCAUCCCAUGUCCUUGUUAUUUGUUCGUGCUUUCUGGCAUUGUGGCCGCGGUGACGACAUCAAGUUGUAAAUUACAAAUAUAAGUAUCGCUUUGUGCUAAUCAUCACUCCACCCACAAAUUAUUACCCCUCCCCUUUCAAUUAGUAUUUUUCACACCAAUGACAUUGAGUGAAACCCCAAACUUCAUACUAGGCGAUGUAAAUAAACUUCAUACCGAGUGUUGUGAGAUUGUGGUGUAAUGAUUUGUUCAAGAAUACAUGGGUCCCAUCAAAAUUAAAAAAAAAUACUCGUCUAGUGGACCACCUCCCCUCAUUUUCUCAAUGCAUAAAUGAAAGAAUAUAUGACGGUGUGAACUUAGAGUUGAGCGGUGGUGCCGGAAGACACGAUGGAAGCCGUGGCAUGUUCUCUACUACUCCCUAGUGUAUGGCUUUCCACGAUUGGGGGUGUGGUAGCACGUGGUGAAGUUAGGUGGAGGCUCUAGGAAGCGGGAGGGUUUGGGCCUAGGAUUAUGCAUCAUUCCUCGAUAGUAGAGUGAGGAGGCGGGAGGGCCUGAGCUUAAUAUGAUGCAGUGCUCCUCGGUGGUGAGGAGGUGGGAGGGUUUAGCCUAGCAUGAUGAGGCGCUCCUUGAUGGCAGCUCAAGGAUGUGGGAUGGGCUAGGCCUAGGAGAAUGUGGCAUUCCUCAACGGACCAGUCACAACAUCCAGUUCCGGCAUCUCAAAGCCUCUCAACGUUGGUAGCAAAACAUCCUCAUUAGGAUGAUGCGGGAGAUGGAUGUGUGGUUUGCCAAGUAGUAUGGGUUUUUUCCUUGAUAGAACUUAUCCCAAAUUUCAUAGAAAGAAGUAGUGUGCGAUGUCGUUGUGUUUUGUUUCCACUUAGUUUCUUCACGUGGAUGAGACUUAAGAAAGUCAAUUUGUAUUUCUCAGGGGACAAAUUUGAAACAUCGCCCAAAUUUGUUGAUUAUAUUGAUAAUUUGAGAAUGUGCCUUUGUUACUUUUGUGAGACAUAUCUUGAAACUUAUAUUUGUCCAAUGAAUUUUGUGAGAAAAUACACCGAUAAUUUUACCAAAUGUAAUUUUUUUUGUGAAAUGCAUGUCUAGUAUCCUUAAAAUUUUGAAAAAACGGCAUGAAAAACCAAUAAACUUUGUUAAGUCUUGUAUAAUGAUGAGGGGUGUAUGUAGAGAUGUGUGUAUGUGGAUCUCAUUCAGUACCUGUACGAAAUGGCACUAAAAUUUAUGCAAAAUGUAUCUACUAUUAUGAAAUGUGAAUGAAAUAUUCUUGAAUUCUAUCAAAAAAUUCGUGGAAAUAGUUUGGAAAUUUCUUACAUCAUAAUUUAAUUGAUCUAAAAUGAACAUUAAAUGCUCUAAGGAGUCUAAAAUCAUUCUAAAAUGGAUCUAUGUAGUUGAGCUAAAAGGUUCCCAAAAUAUGAAAAUUCAGAUUUUGUGAAUUUUUAUUGAAAUGCAAGGAAUCACGAUAACACGCAUUUGUGAAAUCUAGUGAAAAUAUCUCUUGAAAUUAUUUUCAAAUCAUGAUCAGAUCAUGAGUACAUACUGGUUGAAAUGUGAUUAAAUUUUGAACUAGAGCAAAAAAAUUGUGACAUUUGUAGAAACAGUGAAAAUGACUCUAGAAUGUUUCUUGAAUAAACAAAUUUACUUCAUUUUGUAAGAAUUCGAAUUAAAGUUGUUUCUAGAAAACAUUUGCAACUAUCAUACAUGCAUUUCUAACUUACAGUUGACAGAUUUCCGAUGGGUCCUAACAUGGCUAUAUCGAGUACGUGGUUGCUGCGAGUGUCGAGAUAUAUUACAUCAACAUAAAAGUCCUACUUUCUGCCACAUAACAUAUCCAUAAAGUAUGCAAAAAAGGUUUCCUACAGCAACACGUCUUGUAGAAUGUAUAGGGUAGGAGUCUGAACCAUUAUUGGUACCAAUCCAACACAAUAAGCUACGCAUCAGGGGUGCUCGCUCGGCGUGUCCACGUUGGCAAAGUUACUCUGCAACGCUAGGAUGAAAGAAAAAACUCGACAAACAUGUAGACCUGCCACACGCUUCCUCCCCACUCUACCAAUUCCCUCCCUCUCGCCGGAUCCCUACGCCGCCGGCUCCGCCACUUCUCCUCCCCGUUCCUCUCCUCGCCCUGUAUGGGUUGCCGUUGCCGCCACUGCCGCCGUUCCUCUCCUCACCCAGGCAUCACCUCCACUCUCUCUCAUCAUCUAGGGAUGGAGGGGCAACUGCAAUCCACCUCGAGGAAGAGGGGUAGGCAGAAGGACAGUGGUCGUUCAACUCGGGACGACGAGCCAUGGGUGACGACCAUCUCAACACAAAGUUUUAUCAGCGGUGGAUCCUCAGGUUGUGGGAAGCGAGACGAUUUGAAUUGGAUCUGGCGAGAUCCAUCAGGAGACGGUGCUUCAGUGAGGUGGGCGAUGUGGCAGAAGAGAGCGUGGUGGAGGAGGUGGAUGAGAAGCCAGGGUUGAGGUCUUCCACUAGGAUCUUCUCUGCGACGUGCUCCAAGUAGCUUAUUCAUGUCCUUGGUUAGUUAUUAAUUUACAUAUAUGAGACUCAAAAUUGUGAGAACCAAACUUUAAUUUCUUAUUCUGCUCUCUUCCUCUCAUCUUGUACAAGCACACAUAGCAGACUAGCAGGUACGACCUGGGACCCCUAAUACCAAGCAUGACGAUGUGCAAUAGUGUUGUAGCGCGCAUGACCAGAGCAUGACGGCACAACGGUGCAGCAAGGUGGUGUAUACCACCACGAGGAGCAAGAGCGCCAAACAGCUGGCUUUCAGGGUAAUAUCCUCUUUCAGUUCUUGUAUAUACGCGAGUACGUUGGUGUUCCUGUUGGUGGAUGUGUAGCUGGAUGUUCAACAUGUGCUUAUUGGUGACUUGCUGCCUAGAGUUGCAAUAGUAAUUGGAGCAGAUGAUUGUAUAGAAUGGUAAUUUUGUUGGUUAGCUAAAAAUGAACCUUCAAGACAAAUGAUAUGACCUGUACUUGAUGGUGUUAUUCUUCUCAUGUGAAAAUUCGAGAGCUUAUUUGAUGUUGUUGUUCUGCUUAUGUAACAACCUGAGAGCUUAUUGUAGCUUCUCUACUUGUCAAUAGGAGGUGGUGCGGUGGAAUAAUACGGCUUGGGCAUUUCCGACGAGAUGUGGCUCGAGCGGAUGUCGUCGAUGCGACAAUGAGAAGAUCCUCUUGGUGAUCCCUCUCCCUCCGUUUUGCCUCUCAUGCUUCAGGUUUCUGUGUUCUCAAGGGAGAUUCAUUGGUCCUUUUCAAGGUUUGUUUUAUUAAUCUGUCAUAUUUAAAUGGAAAAAGGUGCAUGGGAAUUUCUAUGGAAAUGUCACUCAAGGAGGGUCACACAUAGCUCACAAUUGGGUGAUAUCCUUAUGGCCGACAAGGAUUGAUCCUCAUUCAAGAUGGAAAGUGUUGAUUUCCGAUGAAUGCCAUAUACAUUUAUUGUUUCUUAGACAUUGAAAGUUAAGGAAAACACUUGUUUGAUUGGUCCAGUGCAGCUUGCGUCUGAACCACAAUUCCUGUUUGAGUCUGAACCACAAUUUCCAGAAAGUGAAGGAAAACACUUAUUUGAUUCAUUUAGUUGUAGCUGUUGCGGGUUGCAGAUACCCAAUUAGGAUUCAUUUAGUAUUGAAUGCUUUCAUUUUCACACCUAUACUGAAUUAUCCAAUACUAAAUUUAGGAUUUGUUUUCUAGUUACACCAUCUAUUUGUUUUUUUCAGUUCCUACCAAUAAGUGUGAAUUAUACUAACAUGUCUUGAACUCUUUUGCUUGGUCAUGAGAGGGGCACUGGGUGAAAAUGUUGGCAUAGAAAUUCAUAACAUGAAAUAAGUGGUCGGGGUCUGGUCAUGGUAAGUGAGCACUUUACAGAGUUAGUAUGGCUUAUGAUUUGUACUUGAUUGUCUAAUGAUAACUUCUGCACAUCAAGAAAUAGCUGAACCUUUUAGCAAUAGCACAUUUCUGUAUAUGAAUUUGUGUUCACAUAUGUUGAUCAUAUUUUAAUAUUGAAGGGCUUGCCAAAUUUAGUUGCAAUUGGAGAUGCAUAUUUUCCACAUGUUGAUGUUGUUUUUUGUUGCUUGCCAUAGGAAACAACAGAGGUUGGUACCCUCAUCAUGCUUUUUCUGAGUUUUUUUCCUAUCAAUUAUUGAACUUAUGAAGGAAUACAAUUAUAUGCUCUUCUGUCAAUUACAAGAUAACAUUUUGUACUGAACACACUUAGAGAAAAACUUCAAUUUGUUUGUGUUCUUUCUAGAAUUGAUUGUAAACAUGGAUGAAGGAAAAUUUGGAUGUUGAUGUUUUUCGCUUUUUCUUAACCACAAUACCAAUGCAACAUGCUAACAAUAAUCGAGUAUAUACUCUUGUUACUUUCCAUCUAUGUAGGUGUUCUGUUGUAUUGUCUUGAAACAAUUAAUAAAAUGUUGUAGCUUUUGGUUUCUCUAUCUUAUCAAUAAAAUGAUGUUCACACAUGUAGUAGAUAUAUGAUACUUCUAGCUGAAAAAGGGGAAACAAGCUUGCCAUCAGUAGUACUAUUUAUAUUACAGUAAUUUGACUAGGAAAUGGUCUAUUGAAGGGAUUACGAUGAGCAAAACUGAAACAUGAGUCCAGCUACCUAUAGUCCCGGUGAUGAAAUAUGUUAUUGUCUUGUAAAGCAGUUAUUAAACUAACAAAGGACAACAUAAUGGAUAGAUGACAACCUCGUACCGCAGAAGCCCCCCCCCCCCCCUCAAGAGGUACGCUCAUGGCGCGCUCCCGCCUCUAGUACAAGUGAAACUUACUACAUAUUGUAGUGAUUUUCUUUAUAUGGUGUGUGUUUAUAUGGAAAGUCUCCUUAGCUGUCCCAUGGGUGAUAGGCUAAAUUUUGAAAAAUGCAUAGAUACAUACUUGGUAAGCUAUGUAGUGUUUUCAAAAUCCGCCAUUCUCUCAUCUCCUUUGUUCAAUUUGUAAAGUUUUAAUAUGAAUUCCAAUUUGUGCUAAUCAUAACACCGCACACAAAAUACACCCCAUCUUCUCAAUUAGGUCUUUUCACACCCAUGACAUCAGGUGGAACCCCGGAAGUGAUACCAAGUUUCGUAGAGAAAUUUUCGAUACCGAUGGACACGACCACUAAUACCUUAUCACUUGCUCUCACUUGGAAUACUCCGUGGAUAUCGAUGGAAAUUCCCUAAGAAUACAUUAUGUAAUAUUGACAUAUUAACUAACAUGUGAAAUGGAGUACAUUUGAAUCAAGAGUGUUGUGUUAAUAUGAACAAUACGUUGUCUUUGACCUCAUAUGUGUCAUGCUAUAGUUUCUCAAUUAGAAGGUUGCUUAUUAGUACUACCUCUUUUAAAAAAAAAAUUAUAAUGUGUAUGCUAACACGAAUCCAUAGUAGGUUGAGAAUUCAUUGGUUAUAUUGUUGUAUAACGAAUUAUAAGGAAACAAAGAAAGUGGUUAAGAGGAAUACACAAUGUGUGGGGACCUUCCAAAGUAAAAAAUAUAUAUACCUAACAACUGAAUUCCCCUCACACCCCCUCAUUUUCUCAAUAUAUUAACUAGAGAAGAGACAAUGAAUUGAGCUUGGUGUUGGACAACCUCACUGAAGGACAUGGUGGUAUUUGUGUCUCUUUUCUUUACAACUCCCACCGUGUUUAACUUUCAUGAUUGGUGGUGCAGUAACACGCGACAAAGCAAAGUGAUGACAUGAGGCAGAAGGAUGGGUUGGGCGUGGGGGAUGUGACGCUUAUCGACAACCCAAUCAUAGUAUCUCGCCCCUCGGACCCAAUCUCCCUGAUGCCAUCAACAACAUAUCAUGCCCAGGAUUAUGCGAAAGAUGGGUUUUGGUUCUCCAAGCGGUAUGGUUUGCUUCCUUGGAUUCAAUUUCUCGCUAGAUUUAGCAUGGAUUAAAGAAGCCAAAUUUUGUGAUACCAUGCAAAGUAAUAGUGUGUGGCAUUGUGUUUUUUUGUUUUCUUUCUUCCUGUGGAGGGGAGUUAAGCGAAUCAAUAUGCAUUGGUCAGGAAACAAACUAAAACACAAUCCAGAUUUGUUUAUUUUGUUGAUAAUUUGAUAAUAUCAUUGUUGCUUCAACUUUUUGAGAAAUAUUUUGGAACUUAUAUUAGUUGUGUGAAUUUUGUGAGAAAUAUACACAUACAAAUUCAUCAAACAUAACUUUUAUUUUGCUUGUGGAGUUCACAUGCAAUGUGUCUCACUUUUUGCUAAAAUAGAAUGAAAUGAUAAUACAAAAUUUCUGGUUUUCGAUGAUGAGGAGGGCGUAUGUGGAGAUGCAUGUAUGUGGAACUUGUUUAGUAGAUGCAUGAAAUGGCAUACUUUGGAAAAAUGUAUCUAAUUAUGAAAUGUUAAUGAAAUAAUUGGUUCUUGGAUUCGAUCAAAAACUAGUAUGAAAAUGCAUGGGAAAUAUAUUAAAUCAUCAUGAAAUUGAUCUAAAUUGUAUAUUAAAUCAUCUAAAUAUCUCUAAACCAUUCUAGAAUGAUUAUUACGAGUUGAGAUGAAUGGCGUCUCAAAUCUGAAAUUUGAGUUGCAUCUUAAUCAUAAUUACUAGCUUUAGUUGCAUGUAAAUCAUGAUUUACAUGCAACUGAAACUAGUAGUUUGGGUGCAAACUUAUGAUGUAUGAAAUCCAGGGAAAAUGCCUCUAAAAAUUGUUCUCGAAUCACGACUACAUAAUGCAGGUAUAAUGAUUUAAAUUUCCUUGAAAUUUGAAUUUGAGUACAAGUUUGUGACAUUUGUGGAAGCUAGUGCUAAUAACUUUGGAAUGAUUAUGAAGUAAAUAAAAUUUGUGAUUCAAUGAACUUGAACUGAAAUCAUAUUUGGAAUGCAUUUUGAAAGGUUCAAAUGUUAGAAUUUCAUUUGCAUCUUUCCUAAAAAUCCAUUUCAUUUAAUGACUCAUGAAUGAAACAAAAUAAAUCUUGACGAAGCCAUUAUACAUGCAUUUGAAACUCUUGUAGGAUUUAUUGAAAUCUUAUUCAAUCAUAACUUGUAACUUUUUGAAGAUUUGAAACUUCAACUAUUGAUUUAGUUCUAGUAAAAUUUAAUUUUAAAAUGUGUAAAAAUGAGUUAAUAUAUAGAUACAUACUAUGAUGGAAAUUUAUGGUCAGACUCACAAAGCAAAAAACAUACGAUGUAUACUUUGUUGGCCCAUGGCGUGCAGGGUAAAAAUGAUUUUCUUGAGGCUAGAUAUCCAUAUGGUGGCUUGAGGAGAGGAUGUUUUGGGUACCAAUGUGAUAAUAUUAGAUGUGAAAAUGGUGUGUGAUGACCCACAAGUAUAGGGGAUCAAUCAUAGUCCUUUCGAUAAGUAAGAGUGUCGAACCCAACGAGGAGCAGAAGGAUUUGACAAGUGGUUUUCAGCAAGGUAAUAUCUGCAAGCACUGAAAUUAUCGGUAACAAGUGCUUGUGUGGUGAGAUGAUUCGUAGCAAGCAACGAGUAACAAAAGUAGCAAAAGUGCAGCAAAGUGGCCCAAUCCCUUUUGUAGCAAGGGACAAGCCUGGACAAAGUCUUAUAGGAGGAAAAGCGCUCCCGAGGACACACGGGAAUUUCUGUCAUGCUAGUUUUCAUCAUGUUCAUAUGAUUCACGUUCGUUACUUUGAUAGUUUGAUAUGUGGGUGGACCGGCGCUUGGGUACUGCCCUUACUUGGACAAGCAUCCCACUUAUGAUUAACCCCUCUCGCAAGCAUCCACAACUACGAAAGAAGAAUUAAGACAAAGUCUAACCAUAGCAUUAAACUAGUGGAUCCAAAUCAGCCCCUUACGAAGCAACGCAUAAACUAGGGUUUAAGCUUCUGUCACUCUAGCAACCCAUCAUCUACUUACUAAUUCCCAAUGCCUUCCUAUAGGCCCAAAUAAUGGUGAAGUGUUAUGUAGUCGACGUUCACAUAACACCACUAGAGGAAAAAUAACAUACAACACAUCAAAUUACCGAACGAAUACCAAAUUCACAUGACUACUUAUAGCAUGACUUAUCCCAUGUCCUCAGGAACAAAAGUAACUACUCACAAAGAAUAAUCAUAUUCAUGACCAGAGAGGUAAUGAGUAGCAUCAAGGAUCUAAAUAUAAACUCUUCCACCAAGUAAUCCAACUAGCAUCAACUACAAAGAGUAAUUAACACUACUAGCAACCUUACAAUUACCAAUCGGAGUCGCGAGACGGAGAUUGGUUACAAGAGAUGAACUAGGGUUUGGAUAUGAGAUGGUGUUGAUGAAGAUGUUGAUGGUGACGAUUCCUCUUCGAUGAGAGGAGUGUUGGUGAUGACGAUGGCGACAAUUUCCCCCUCCGGAAGGGAAGUUUCCCCGGCACGAUCGUCCUGCCGGAGCUCUAGAUUGAUUCUGCUCAAGUUCCGCCUCGUGGCGGCGGCGAAUCCUCCGAAAAUCCUCAUCCUGAAUUUUUUCGGAACAAAACCCUUCAUAUAGCAGAAGAGGGGAGCUAGUGGGCCAGCAGGGAGCCCACAAGCCACCUAGGCGCAGCCAGGGGGUGGCCGCGCCUAGCAGGCUUGUGGCCACCUGCUGGCGCCCCUUUGGCACUUCUUCAGCCCAGUAUUUUUUAUAUAUUCCCAAAAAAUCCACGUUGAUUUUCACGGCAUUUGGAGUUGCACAGAAUAGGCAUCUCAAACUUGCUCCUUUUUCAGGCCAGAAUUCCAGCUGCCGGCAUUCUCCCUCUUCAUGUAAACCUUGCAAAAUAAGAGAGAAAAGGCAUAAGUAUUGUACCGUGAAGUGAAAUAACAGCCCAAAAAACAAUAAAUAUCAACAUGAAAGCAUGAUGCAAAAUGGGCGUAUCAGUGUGACAUGUACCAUAGGUAUGGUGGAUGAAUUUGAAUAAGGGUGCAUUCGGAUGUACAUAUGAGUCCUUUGGUCUCACCUUAUAGAGAACACCUUUUGGGCAGAGGCUCGGGGGAAAUGCACACAAUCCUAAGAGAGGUAAUGUUGUGUUACGUGGACUCAAGUAUUGUAAAAUGUGUGAUCGCAUGCUUUGCCCGAUUGGGGUGAAGAAAUCCCCCAUUCUAUACUCUCCCUUGGCCAAGUGGGAUAUAUUUAUCAUCCUUUUUAUCGAACUAUCACCGGUGGCAACAUCAAUCCAUACACAAAAAUAUAGAUGUUGGUUCAUGAUAAGCAUAACUCAUCGCACAAAAGACCCCCAUUUUCUCGCCCGACUUUCUUUCACGUACAUCCAAUCGAUGCAGAGAAACUUCUGAUAGCAAAGGACAAUACCACCAAUGCUUUCAUGCAUUCUUUCACUUUGAACCCUCCCCGACCAUUGGGGCCAACUCCCUAAAUGUGUAUGCUAGGUUAACCUCUUAGAUAACUCCGCUGACAAAUGAAAUAGAUUACAUUUGAAUGAAGAGUGUUUUGCUAAAUUCGACAAUGCAAGUUGGUUUUUGAUCUCAUCGAGAAACUGAUGUAUUUUAUUUAAUUAGAAGGUUGGUUAUCAUACUACCAAGUGGGUGGGUUCAAAGAUAUACGAGGGGAUUAAGCCCACCUAAACAUUUUCCAUUGUAGCACACCAAGGCCGAAGGGGAAUAAAUUAUAGGGUAAUUGCACACAAGUCAGAGUUAAACCAAAAAAUAUUUCAAAGGUUGGAUUUCGUACCAAAAGCAUGCAACAAAGAGAUAGAAUACAACUGACAAAAGAGGGAGGAAACUUGAGCCAACUGAAUUGGGAAGUCAAUUUGACAGCGAUGACGGAAGACCUAAUGAGUUGAUACCAUGACAUAAACAUGUGUAUGCUUCCCACGCUGUUGAAGGCCACCCAUAGUAGAGACAAGAUGUGAGCACAAACCAAUUAGAUCCACAACUUAUAUGGCAUCACGAGGACCAAUAGGUGAAAUUCAUACGUGUAGCUAUGCUAAGAGCUUUAGAACAUUUAAGGCGUGAAGAGACGAGUGUGAAAUAUAUAGACUCCAAGAAAGAACUCUCAAAGGAUCAUGACGAGCACAUUCGAAGAGCAUUAGAUAGUGAGAAAGUAUGGUGAUAGAGAUGUGUUUCCGACGAAGCCAAAAUAUAGAUGAGCCGAUGAGGGAAGCAACAUUGGUGUGUCACCACUAAGGGUGAAGGUAAACACACAAUCAACAAAAACCCAUGAUGCAUGGGUAGACCUCGAGCGGGCCACCAUCACCACAACCUGCCGUGCACAGGCUCCAAGCCAAAGGGCUGCCAGAAGGAAAGAACAAAAUAGCCCGACAUUGGCCAAGAUUUUAGGUGAUGUCUACAAGGAGGCAAAACCAAACACAGCAUGCAUCACCAUUGCCAGAUUCGAAGAACCCCGUAUCUAAAAUUUCUCGUGGAACGCAACUGUUGAAGGGAGAAAAACAUAGUGCCAAGACGACGGCUCCAGUGAGGAACCCGACACCCGCCCACACUGCCAUGCACAUGCUUUUCGCCUCCCGAUGCCCUCCUCACCUUUGUUCCAUGACAUGUCGGUCACACCAUCACUUUAGCGCCACGACAGGAGUCACCCUGAUAGCAACAACGAUCUACAGAUGACCCUGUUGGGGGCGGCUAAGGCUGCAAGUUAGCCCGGGUCUAGAUUUUUGGGGAAUUCUAAAAAAUCCACAUCCUAAUCAAAACAUAAGAACAUCAAUCUAAAACCCAUAAAUGUAUGUGACCCCUUCUCGUAUGGUCAUGCCAAUUUUCCCUUUUUAGGAGAUUAUUGCCACCCCUAUGGCAUCCGUUUGAUCUUGCUUUGAGAUUAUGUAGCUUCUUUUAGGCUUGCACUUUGUUUAGCCUUUCAUUUGUCUAAUUGCACUCAUAUGACUUCUUAGCAUUAAGCAGUAACAAUGCUAAAUGCUGAUACCACGUAUACGCAUGGAUAUUUUUUGGUGGGAUCAUUUUGGAGUUCACGAAGAACUUAUUAUAGGAAAUUCAAGUGGUAGUAAGUACCACUGGGUGACAGGAAACAUUUGUCCUAUAUAUAGAAAGUCUAUUUGUCAUCCAGGGUGAAGAAUAAGACAUGAUUCUUGGUGGAUGUUGUAAUUUUACCUCACACGCAUCUCAUAAUCUUACCUGACCGACAUGGUCUAAUCUUACCUCACAUGCAUUGAACUCAAGUGCAUCACAUUUUUUUUCUCGCGGUGGAUGUUAAGAAGCACUUAAGUACACACGAUAAUAUUACCUCACAUGCAUUUUGGUUAUGACGAUGAUUAUAGGGUGCAUGAGGAGGUGGGCUGAAUAAUAACAAUUCUUCACCCUGGGUGAUGGUGAUUGUAGGAUUUCCAGGACAAAACAAAGUCCAUGAAAUCCUAGAAUACAACACAAUUACUUUGUUUUAAUUCACUCGUCACCCAAAUAUACUCCACAAAAGGAAUGUCACAUUACCAAGGUCUUGAGAUCUUGUAAAGGAAGUCAUUGAUUAGAAUGCAUACGGUGUGAAGAUAGAGAUACAAUGCAAGCAUUGAAUGAUUACAACCUAGAAGUAAAAGAAAAGAGCAAAGUGAAUGCACAUGACAAAGCACUACCUCGUUAGAGUACACAACAACCAUCACCAUGGAGCAGUGUCACUUGCAUUGUUCAAGGGCAUCAUAGUACCAAGACGUGGCCUUUUAUACCACAACAAAACCUGCAAAGUUUUCAUUUAUCCACAUGACGUGAUACUAGAACAAACACAUUCAACGAGUUUCAUCAUCAUGGAUCACAAAACUCUGCACAAGAGGCAUCAUAUUGGAGCCUUUCAGCCAUGAGGCCACGGACGAACAUGACUAUCCUUGAUUGCAGGAUCCACCGUGACGACAACCGAAGCAAUUUUCAAAUACGAGUGGGGAGUUUGCAUCAUCAAAGAUCAAAGAUCUACUAGGACCGCACCAAGAUCUAGCAUGACUUGAUCGCAACACUUAGACUAUCAUGGGAGGGACUUGAUCAUGCAAAACAACAAGGAGUGGACAUUGAUGGUAGCGCAAAGUGCGCGGAGUAAAUGAACGGUAGCUCAGUGAUGCCUAAGAUGACACCAAUCUUGUCAUGUCCAGUAGAGUAAGAAUACCCAUGUCAAUGGUAAGGGCGAAAAUUCCAUUAGGACACCUUCAACAAGGGGAGUGACACCCAAGGGUGUAUGAUACUUAUCCAACGUAUCUAUAAUUUUUGAUUGUUUCAUGCUAUUAUAUUAUCAAUCUUAUAUACUUUAUAUGUCAUUUUAUAUCAUUUUUGGGACUAACCUAUUAACCCACUUCAAGUUAAUGUUUUCUAUACGUUUUUAGUUUAUAGAAAAUCCAUACCCCACGAAGUCCAAACGCGAAAAAACUUUUUGACAUUUUUUCUGGACUAGAAGACACCCUGGAAGCUUCGGAAGGAGACCAGAUGGCACACGACAGAGCCACAAGGCAAGGGGGCGCCCAGCCCCCUUGUAGGCUUCCCGUGGUUCCAUUUACCCUAAAACCAGAGUUAUAGAUUCAAAUAUCCCCAGAAACCUCCAUAACACAUCCCAAAAGAAUUUUUUUGCUAUCGGAAGCCUUUGUUCUUCCGUGAUCCCAGUUGGAGACAUUUUAUUGUACUCUGUCGGAGGGGCAAUCCAUCACAGAGGCCAUUUUCAUCAACCUUGCUGCCUUCAUGGUGAUGUGUGAGUAGUUCCCCAUAGGACAUAUGGGUCCAUAGUGGUACCUCUCUCUCUUUANCAUAUGUUACUAUUGUAUGAUACUACCUUCAUAGUGCAUAGUACUAUCAUAAACUAGUAUCAUAGAUGAUCUCAUUUAUUGACAUGCAUGACACAUAGUAGCAUAGCAUUUAACAUGAUACGGUAUCUACCUAUGUUACUCUAACUCUCUCUCUCUCUCUGAUCUUCAAUACCAUGUUCUCUUCAUAGAUCUAUUCGACGUAAUCCUUGUCAUGUGUUUGUUGGGCCGAUUGAUUGUGGGUUUAUGAUCAGAUUAUUCAUUAAAAUUAAUUGAAUCUUUUCACACUAUUAUGUAUAAUUUUAUAGCUAUGUAUGCCUUUCGAUCUAUGAGUUUUCAUUGGCCAAGUUAAUGACUAGAUGUUCAGAGAAAGUGGUGCAUAGUAGUAGGUUCAAUCUUGAAGUGUCCUUACUCUGUGACGGGAGGAGUUUCAAGGUAAGUAUGGUAAUUUUUCUAAUAAGGGUAAAACGGUGGGGUUAUAACAUAUUUGAUGGUCUUUUUAUUUCUACAUCAUGUCAUCUUGCUUCAUGAAUUACUCUGUUUUUUAUGAACUUCGUACCUUGCGAUGCAUGCUAGAUAGCGGUCAAGAGGUGAAGUAAUAGUAGUAGAUAUAUAUGUA
rnacentral:lncRNA from 1 species